UACGUAGGGUCCGAGCGUUGUCCGGAAUUAUUGGGCGUAAAGGGCUCGUAGGCGGUUCGUCACGUCGGGAGUGAAAACUCGGAGCUUAACUCCGAGCCUGCUUCCGAUACGGGCAGACUAGAGGUAGGCAGGGGAGAGCGGAACUCCUGGUGUAGCGGUGGAAUGCGCAGAUAUCAGGAGGAACACCGGUGGCGAAGGCGGUUCUCUGGGCCUGUACUGACGCUGAGGAACGAAAGCGUGGGGAGCGAACAGG
rnacentral:rRNA from 1 species